CUGUUUUACUCUUAUUAUCACAUCUCCAUCUCAGGAUCUGAAGUUAUUGUCUUAAUACAUCCUCAGGGUAUAAGUGUGGAUUAUCAGGUUCUAGGAUUGAUGAUACUUUCGAUUGAAUAUUGUUCCAUUACGAUAUUCAUAUGGCACCUUUUGUCUUGUGAGAUUAUAAGGAUAGGGGCUAUAAAUGAGUCGAGCUUUGAGGCCUGAGCAAAUCUUUAUGUUUUUACCUUUGCUUGUUCGUGUAUGUUUUUGAAAAAUGUAAAUUGGUUUAGUAUUUGUUGGGCAAACUUUUGGGGUAUUUUGUUGAUUUCUAUGGUUCAGUGAAAUUGAAUGGUGGUAAUAUUUGUAUUAUGAGCAGAAAAUGUGGUCCUCUUAGAACUUUUGCGUCAUUUUGUCAUGCUUGUUAAUAUAUGUUAUUUCAAAAUUUAAUUGGUUAGUAAUCAUUGGGGAAAAUUUUGAGGUCUUUCGUUGACUUCUAUAGUUCGGUGAAAUAGAAUGGAGAUAAUAUUUGUAUUGAGAGGAGAAAAUUUGGGCAUCCUAAAACUUUUAUGUCAUAUUAUGAUGUGGGCACCAUUUGAGGCUGAUCACAAAGGGAAGUAGGACCGUUUGAGGUUUUAAGAGAGGUUUAUAAAGGUUUUGUGCUACUCCACCGAUUGCUUUAAUGUUUGGGUGCUCAGUUUUUUCUUUCCCAUGGUAUCAAAGCGGCAGAGCCAGACCUUCAACAAGUCAUUCUCACACUCGUAGCUCUGUAUUGUCCGACAUGUCUUAAGGGUUUUACAAAUAUUUUGGGGUUACUCCACCUUCUGAUUUAAGAUCUUUGUUGGAUGCUCAUAUUCCUUUCUCUUCUUGAUGAUUGAGAUAGUAUCCCAAGGCAAGUUUCACAAGGUUUGAAAAUUAUUGGGUAAGGAGCUUCUCUCUCUGCUCUUCUCCACUUAAAUAUCAGGCUUUUGUCAAUUUCACGAUUUGAACAUGUGAUGUGCGCCAAAUCCAAACAUUAUGCAUUGCACUCUUAUCACUAAAGCAAAGCUCGCUUAUAUUCUUUCACAAAUUUGUAAUAUAUUUUUGAAGUUGUUAGUGCCAAAGACAUUUAUAGUUUGAAAUGUGGUCCUAUAUAGUUGGAAUGAACUUAUAGUUUGACUGUUAGGGGCUUCUAUUGUUCCUAGCGAAGCUUUGAUCUCAAAGCAAAAUUUAUAUUGGUCGAGCUCAAGUUCAACUUAAUAUUCAUUUAAAUGCGCUCAGUUGAUGUGGUUUUGAUGCCAAGUUUUACAUCUAAAACGCGGGGUUUAUUAUUUUAUCUUUUUGUUAUGUAUAAAUAUCUUUCCAAUGAUUGUACUUUAUGCAUUUGCAAAUCAUGCACUAGGUCUUUGAAGCCCGUCUUAUGUUAUGAAAUAUCAAAUCUACUUGUACUGAAGUCCAAAUGAAAUGAUUGGAUUUGCAAGAGUGGUGGUAGAAUUGUUGCCUAGUACAAACACUUAUCUGAUGAUGUUGUUUUUAUGCAAAUAAUUCACUUCUUAAUCAAUUGCCUGAGAUGUGUUGUGAAGGAAAGAUUGAACUAUUGAACAAUAAUGAAGAACAAGUCUCGAGUUUUCUUACUCUCAUCUUCCUUUUUCUUUUGUCCAAAACUCAAAAAAAAGUGAUCUCCGAAAAACCUUAAAGAAGUGUCAUCCAUUUAAUAAAUGGGGAAGGAUUUACAGGCUGGUAAGGCAACUUAUUGCUGCCAUGUAAGUUGAUUCUUGAAAUUUCAGUUGCAGACUUGAAGAAGCUUUGAUUUUUUGUGGUCUACUGGAGUCCUGUAGUUUACAUUUCUUGUGCUUUUUUUUUUCAUAGUUGAUUUCUAGAAUGCAGUUGACAACACAUUGUGCCCUCCACCCCAAGACUCAAUUUUGUUCUUUCUUGCUAUAUUUGGUACUGUUAGUUGGAAUAUUGUUGCUUGUGAAUUUUGAUGAGGAGCACUUGUUGUUGAUAAAUGAUACACUGGUGGUAGAGGAUAUAAAUUUCAAAAUUUCCAUGUUUUCAUGUAAUGGCAAGGAUUUGAUCUAGGAUUGGAAUAUUAUGUGCGCACAUUUUUCUGAUUAAUAGUGUAGGAGAAUCUUAUGGGUUAGAAAUAUCAGAAUCUCAGAACCCAUCAACUAUUUUUUUUUUGAAACUAGUAACUUUUUGUAUUCCUCAGCAUUAAGGGCUAUGCUGGCCACCUCCAAAAAACUGUUACAAGAAAGGGAAAAACUAAAAAGAAAUACUUACAGAGAACCUGUGAAGUCCACUAAUUGGAACUUCUCUUCUAUAUCCUGUUCUUUACACCAAAAAACCGAAGUAGUAAUCACUUUCCAUUUGAUCUUCUGUGUUGUAACUCCUUUGCUUAAAAAAUUCUCUGAUUCCUUUCUUUCCAUAUAAUCCACCAGAUACAUGCUGGAACUGUUCACCAUCUUUUCUGACUUUUGCUGCCUCCCCUUUGAUCCAGCAACUAAGAAGGUCAGAGGUGUGUUCAGGCAUGGUCCAAUAUUCAUUGUCUAUGGUUGUAAACAGAACCCACGGCUGAGCAGUUACCUUACAGUGCAUGAAUAAGUGUUUGUUAGUCUCCAGAGCUUCUUUACAAAGGAGACAUCUGGAUACUAUGUUGAUGCGCCUCUCCUGCAUUGCCUCAUGAGUCAAACAUUUUUUCCUAGCAACCAACCAAAUGAAGCACUUCACCCUUGGCAGGAGCCACACUUUCCCUUAUUCCAAUGUCCAAUGGAUCUUCCUGCACUUCUUUUAAGUCACCAGUUGUAUAACCUAUUCACUGAAAAUACCCCAUCUUUGUGAUGUCCCCAUGCUAAUUCUUAUAUUGAAAGAAUUAUUAAAUGCUUCUGCAAGCUGGAAAAAUUAAUCUCUGCAAUGGUUUUCUAGAUAUUGGGAGGCUUAGUGUGUACUCUCACAAUAAAAUUUUGUGAGAUGACUUUGGUGUAGCUUUAAGUACUUCUGAUUUAUCUUAAACAAGAAAGAGAAUCAUCAAAUACUUUUAACUUUGUAUUUAUUUUGUUUUCUUGUAUAUGCUUAUAAGAUGCUUUUUAAUAAGUAAUCAAUGAUACUCUGAAUGUGUCCCACCGAAUAUUACUGUAAAGGUUUUAGCUGAAGAAGGCGGUGCAAGUCCUAGGUAAAGGGAAACUUAGUAUUGUGGUGCCCAAGGGCAUGAUUUGUCGUCCACAUUGCGUGCUAUAGAUUGUUACGUCAAGUGUUCUUAUCAUUUCAUUUGUAUCCUUCUUUUCUUCCACAUUUUGUUUUCCUUUAGAUAAGCGAGCUGAUUCUUAGAAAUUACUUCAAAGACAUGACUGUAGGUGUGUCAGAGUAAUUUUGCUGGCAGGUGUGUGCUCAUAAUGGAGUGGUAGAGAUGUACAAUCUCUCUGGUUUUCAGUUGCAUAGGUCGGACUGAGAUAUGAGUAGAUGUAGCAAAAGGAUAGUAGUUAUUCCCUCUCUUUCAGUUUAUGUGACUGUAUUUCCAUUUAGUCUAUUUAAAAAAGAUGGACUUCGUAAUUUGAAAAUAUAUUUACUUAAACUUCCCAGUCUAUCCUGAAUGAGAAGUUUUUAUGGACACACAUAGAUGUUAUUGAAUGUUUAAGACCACAAGUUCCAAUUUUUUUUAUAGCCACACCAAUGUUAUAGCACUCUUGGUCCAGUCAACUAGGUUCACAUUAAUUAGCCACACCAAUGUUAUGGCACUCUUGGUCCAGUCAACUAGGUUCACACAAAUUGGAUUUUUGUAUCAUUGAGGUGUUCUAUUCCUUUCUUAUGAACUCUACCUUGAGUUGAUUGUCUGGUUUAAUUUUACACUCUUGUGAGGGUAAGUGUUACAUGUUGUCUAAGAAUUUGCUUAUUUGGUGAAUAUGUGGGGCUCAUACAUUUUUUUGGUGUUCAAGGAAUAGAAUAUCAAAAAAGGCCUUAUGGAGAAGAGUAAAAGUAGGGCGCUUGUAGCUAUUGGUGCAAAACAAUUAGUGAGCUCAAUGCCUUCUUUAUAAUCUAGAAUUUAUCAAUUGUAUGAACUGGAUGAAUGACAGUGUUGUCUGACAGUCCGAAGUUCAUGGCAAUGUUUAUUGGCUAUGAGCUUGUCUUUAAAGUGCUGUAGACUUCAUAAAAAUAAGCUCCCUAAAGUGCUUUAGUCUUGUGUGGACAUUUCGACAGCUGAAUUCUAAGUUAGUAAUAGGAGAAUUUUUUAAAGAUAAAACAUAGGAGCUAGGGGUGUCAAAAUGGGUAAAAUAUAUGGUAAUCUGCCCAUUUGAAAUUUAUUGGUUAUCCAAUUAUUUAAAAGUGGGUCAAACAUGGAUCAACUCAUAUUUGGAUAAUCCAUGGAUAUUCACCAAUUGCACUCUCCUUAAAGUAUGUAAGGGUGUAGGAACCUCUAGAAAGUACACUUGUUAAGGAUGUGUUUGGUAUGAAGGAAAA